AUUGAUCUGGGUAUCCUGUGCUUAAUCGGGCCGAGAAGAAACAGCCCAACCGUGGUGUAUUGGAGGGCUCUCUUCCAAUCUGGUGCCGGUCAGCGCUCAUGUCCAUUGGACUUCAUCUGGUCAGCUCCAAGGUUAGAUCCAGACUUCCAGUAAUGGACGAUUGAUUUCCUGGCGGCGGCGUGGUGUUAUUGGUUUGCCUGGCGUUCGUUGUUCCUCCAUUAAUUUGCAUCGAGGGAGAGUGUUGGAAGUUCCCCGCUGUGUGAUUAACCUGGCUGUGCAGAUCCACGACAAUGUCACCCUCGUGCUACUCGGAUGUUUAUCCUGUCCUUCUUCAGUUCCCAAGUGCUACUAGACUACUCCAAAGUAGGCAAAACAGAGCUGUUGCCAUCUUCUAAUUUGCUGCAGAUUCAUGAUUAGUAAGUGUCAAAAUUAUCUCUUUCGAUUGUGCUGGAUGGAAAUGAUACGAGUAAACAGAGUGCUGGAAUAAUUGGAAAUGCUCUUUUUAAUGGAAGAAUAGUAUAAUACAAUACAUACUGUAAGAUGUGAUGAUUUACUUCUGAGAGGCUAAUAAGCUAUUGGAUUUUUGUUCCUACCUCAAGAGAUAAAUGUGUUAUGCUUCUUGCGUGGUUGAUAUUUGAUGGACACUAUCCAAGGGACACAUGAACUACGAGAUUUAAUAUUCUGGUAUUUUGCUUUUCUUCUCCUUGGUUAUCACUGUCACUACUCUAUUUGGUAGAUAUUGAGUUGUGGUUUUUGAUUGUGAACAUGCACUUCUUAGGAGCUUCCAUAUUAUAGACGUGUAUGUGCUAUUAGCAAUAGUACUCUAAUAACUAAAUUCUUUGUUCUGCACUAUUCUUGAAACCGUACAAGCAAUUCAGAAAAAAAAAGAUGCUAAGAGAAGUUGAUAAAUGUGUUCAGUUCAAAGGUGGUUUCUGUAUAUUAUGCAGGUUUAGUGCAUUAUAACGGGGAUUCUUUUCUGGUCCCACUAUGCAAUCCAUGACCAGGUGGCCUUCGCCUCUUUCCUGCCGUCAUGGUGAUUGUUGAUGAAUGAAUAAUAGACUUUGCUUUGUGAGGAAAUAAUGCACACAGUUUUGAUGGUGAGGCUCUAUAGAGAACCGGCUAGACAUAAGCUCUCGUGAUCUCAUCACACUUCUUGAUGGCACUUUGAGGAAGGAUUAUUGAGCUAUAUUCGGAGAGUGUGACCUUCAUCAGAGACUAUGCCUGCUAGACAGGCAUCUGUUUCUGGAAUUGAAAUUGUUUCCCACAAAUUUGUUAUGUAUUGUGUGCAACUUGAUUGAUUUUUAUCUUAGAAGAAAACAUGCAUUUUACCUACUGCCUUUCCUUUUCCCAUGCCCUCACCGCAAUUUCUCAUCAGGGAAAAUAUUGCAAACAUGUUAACUAACCCAUGUUGUUGAUCUCAGAUAUGAAUUUUUGACAUAAAUUCCUGAUGGUUUCCUCCGAUUUCAUCUAGAAGCCUCUCCUUAUAGGUUACGUAUAGGUAGCAUACUUGCUGUAAUAAAAUUGUCAACACCAGUUUAUCUACCUAGAAGAGUUUUGAAUUAAUAGACAAAUAAUGUAUGCAAACUCGAUGCAAAUGAAUAUUCAUUGAGAGGGUACCGCACAAUUGGUCAAGGGAAAAUUAUAGUAAUUGUAAUUUGAAGGGUUAAUUCUUGACAUAACCUAUUUUCAGGCUAUGGUUAAUACUUCGCCCUUUCUUUCCUCCAGAUAAUAAAAGCGGUAUCAAUUUUUUUGUUGAGGCAUGUUUCUGCAGACGAUGUCCAGCAAGCACUCCUAAAGAUUUAGAAGGAAUGACUAAUGGCUAUUUAUACCUUUACCCCCUCUAUAUAAUGUUCUUUAGAAGAUUUCAAG